GAUCAUGGCUCAGGACGAACGCUGGCGGCGCGCCUAACACAUGCAAGUCGAACGGAGCUGAGAGAAGCUUGCUUUUCUUAGCUUAGUGGCGAACGGGUGAGUAACGCGUAAGUAACCUGCCCUGGAGUGGGGGACAACAGUUGGAAACGACUGCUAAUACCGCAUAAGCCCACGAUCCGGCAUCGGAUUGAGGGAAAAGGAUUUAUUCGCUUCAGGAUGGACUCGCGUCCAAUUAGCUAGUUGG
rnacentral:rRNA from 1 species